GCACUUACCUGGCAGGGGAGACACCAUGAUCAGGCAGGUGGGUUUCCCAGGACGAGGCUCAUCCCCUGCACUCCGGGUGUGCUGACCCCUGCGAUUUCCCCAAAUGCGGGAAACUAAGUUUGCAGAC
rnacentral:snRNA from 1 species